rnacentral:lncRNA from 1 species
CAUAGACUCCCACUUAGUGUGGGAGCCGCAGAGGUGCUGAGGCAGGCUGGGGUUACCAAGUCACCAGCACCCCCGCCACCCAUCUUGCUGAGGCUCCUGCAGUCCUCUCUCCCGGAGCGAAGGGCAGCCCUGGGGUGUGACUGGGGGUUCCCAUCCCCAUGCCACCCCGGAGUUUUCAAAAGAGAAUAGGAGAGAGUAAGCUAUGGCGAGAGUGGCCUGCUGGGUUCUCCAGUGACCCCGGCGUCCAUCUUCGGGGAGGCACACACUCGCGAGGAGGCACAGUGCAGAGGCUAGGAGCAUGCUCACUGCAGGACAGCACUUCCGGGUCUGGGCCCAGCCCACACUAGUCCCUUACCCUCUCCAGUGCUGGUUUUCCAUUGGCCAGCGGGAGUCACUGCUGUUUCCACAGAAGCUGUUUGGAAGGAACACAUGAGUUAGUCUCUGAAGAACUUGGGGCAGCUCUGGGAGGAGCUAAGUACCGUCUGCAGGAUGAAAUCCACAAGGAAAAGGGCAAAGGUCUCGUUUCCGUCUGGCUGACCCUCCGGAGAGAGCCCACAGACCCUCUACCAGCCAGGGAGGAGCAGACGGGGCAGGUGAGGUGGCCGCUGAUUAAAGUUCCAGUGUUUGGACAGAAUAUUUAAGAAGAAACCCUGUUAUGAGAAAUGCUGGAAGAGAGUUUCUAUGCUGGACAUGGAAACGACACCGUCACAACCUGACGCAGACUCUGAGUGACUAUGAAGAUGUUACCUGUCUGUGAGCCCAUCACUGUGGAAAAUAUCACAAGCCAACAUUUGUAAUUCCUGCACACCCAAUUCUACAUGCAAUACGCCUGGUAUCACUGCCGUACGUCCUCACAGGCCCUGUCACCAGCCCACUAGGCCAAGGCCACUCUCCUGGGAAGAUCAAGACUAGAAGUCCAGCACGCUUCUGCUGGACGUAAGCAGGAAGUCCGUGGUCGGCUCCCUGGGGAGAUACGAAGUGUCAGCCAAGCUCUGCAUCCUGGGAGGAAGCCCCUGCUCUCCCGGUCCUGGGCAGCUGCGUCCCUCCACCACCCCCUCCACUCCGGGCUGCACAGGUCCCUCUCCUGCUGGACCUGUGUCUACAUGGAGCCCCCUUCCAGGGCACACAACCACACUAUCCAGGACGAGCAUCCUCAUGGUAAUCCUCCUGCAAGCCCCCUCCCCACCAGGCGAUGCCCCCAGAAGCCACAGAUAGGGCGCGGAGCUCUCCGAGGGGCGCCACCUGGCCUAGCACAGUUUCUGGGUCCCUUGCCUUGCCUGAGUCAUGGAGCUGGUGGGUUUGGUGUACGUGUUCUGUCUGUGCUUUGA